rnacentral:lncRNA from 1 species
UUCGACCUGUCCUAGAAUAGUAACCUGGUUCUAGAAGGAUCUCAAAUCAUUGACCUUUCCUUAAGUCCACUUCAGUGCAACACCAAGCGGUUGACCAAAAUUUCCCUAAAAUCCAAUCUCAAAGAGUGUAGUAUCGAGUAUCAACCAACCCCAGUCGGAACCGAAGUCAGUUAUCUCACUACUUUCUAAUGGCUAGGAUGAGUCAAUUAGGGUGCUAAAGGUUUGGUUAAUGCUUUGAUGACAC